rnacentral:rRNA from 1 species
UACGGAGGGUGCUAGCGUUGUUCGGAAUUACUGGGCGUAAAGCGUGCGCAGGCGGUUGUGCAAGACCGAUGUGAAAUCCCCGGGCUCAACCUGGGAACUGCCUUUGUGACUAGCAUAGCUAGAGUACGGUAGAGGGGGAUGGAAUUCCGCGUGUAGCAGUGAAAUGCGUAGAUAUGCGGAGGAACACCGAUGGCGAAGGCAAUCCCCUGGACCUGUACUGACGCUCAUGCACGAAAGGCGUGGGAGCAAACAGG